rnacentral:ncRNA from 1 species
CAUUGGACCACGAGGAAAAUGGAAUGCAGGAAAUAACAUAGUGUUGGAAAAAAUAGGGCGCUCUCAUUCCCAACGCGAAAAGGUUGCGAGGCGAUUGUCAAAUUACGCACUGAUGUCUUCGGUAUAGUACACAUCUUUGCUAGUCUGCCUAGGAAGAUGUCAGUGUAAGGUGUCUUAUAUGUUACGGUCUGGACUUUGUAAUGUUUUUCUGUUACCUAUAGUAAACUACAGAGCGUGAGCAUCCCGUGAUGAUUACAAGAUCAUGACAUCGUCACAAGCAUACUCACAGGCUUGGACUAUGGUGGAUGGGCCACCGUUACUUAACCUGAAGAUGAGUGGCACUUUGGCUAUUUUCGAGUAAGACACAAAUGCCUCGUCAUCUAAUUAGCGACGCGCAUGAAUGGAUGAACGAGAUUCCCACUGUCCCUACCUACUAUCCAGUGAAAUCACAGCCAAGGGAAAGGGCUUGGCCGAAUCAGCAGGGAAGGAAGACCCUGUUGAGCUUGACUCUAGU